rnacentral:tRNA from 1 species
GCCUGGCUGGCUCAGUUGGUAGAGCAUGUGACUCUUGAUCUUGGGGUUGUGAGUUUGAGCCCCACGUUGGGUG